rnacentral:rRNA from 1 species
UACGUAGGGUGCGAGCGUUAAUCGGAAUUACUGGGCGUAAAGCGUGCGUAGGCGGUUCGUUAAGUUCGUUGUGAAAGCCCCGGGCUCAACCUGGGAAUGGCAAUGGAAACUGGCGGGCUGGAGUAUGGCAGAGGGGGGUGGAAUUCCGCGUGUAGCAGUGAAAUGCGUAGAUAUCGGAAGGAACAUCAGUGGCGAAAGCGACUCCUGGACCAAUACUGACGCUCAUGUGCGAAAGCGUGGGGAGCAAACAGG